GGAACUCAGAACUGUGAUGGCAAAGAAUUUCACACGUCCCAGAAACCCCAGAAUCCAGGAACUCCAUCCUGGCCAAUGCUGGAUCAUGGUCCCCAUCACAUCACAGUGCCCACUGGUGACUGCAGCCUUUCUCUGAAACCCUGCAUGCCCUUCUCUCACACUCAAACACCCUUACAGUAAUCCUGCAUUCUCCUCAAUUUCUUUUCUGCCCUACAAAGAACUGAAACAGCUGCCCAAAAUGCAUUCCUGGUGCUAUAAUGACUGCAGAUACUCAAGUCUUGGGGGCUUUAGUGAGACUGUUUGAUUGUAACAUCUGUGCACUAAAAACACAGGAGUGCCAGCAAUGAAUCGUGUGCACAGUGUGAUGCUGGAUGGGGCAGGAACUGCUGAGCAGCUUGUUAUGGGUGCAGUCCUGCUGUGCUGGAAGAAAUUGGCUGCUUAACUCAGUGUUGGGUUCUACGUAGGCAGGGUGGGUUUCCAUCUGUUCUCCCAUCCCAUGUGUGGGUGCACUGCUGUAACUCCAUCAUCGCGUGGGGUGUGGGGGAUCUGAGGUCAUGGUGGGAUAGUGGCACCAUGGGUUGGAAGGGCUGAAGGUUCCAUUAAGCUGCACAUAUCUCACACUUAGGCAGGCAGCAAAGACUUCCUACUCACACAGUUGUCCCAAACAAACCUCUGGCUUCAUUGUAAAAGCCCUUAAAUCUGGAUGAAGUUUGUCUCGGGAAGGCUUUCUUAGCUCUUUUCCCCUCUUUUGGUAGUCUGAGGUCAAGUUGGUUGUCAUCAUGGAAGUUAACUUAAAAAAAUCAGGUCUUUCAUAUAUUCUUUUUAUAUUUCUGUGACUCCAGAGAAAGGACUUCUUUCUGAUUUAGAGAGGGGUGGAGGCCCCAUCCCUGGAGACAAUCCAGGUCAGGCUGGAUGGGGCACCGAGCAUUCAGUCGAGCUGUGGAUUCCCCUGUCCAUUGCAGGGGUAUUGGAACAGAUGACCUUCAAGAGUCCCUUUCAACUCAAAUGAUUCUCUGAUUUGUGACCGGUGUAAAAACUCUUGAACAGGACCUUGGCUUUCCCCUGGAGCUCUGGUUCCCCCAUAGCAGCUCUGCUGAACUCUGCUCUCUCUCUGUGUCCCCUGGAAUAUGUUCACCAAUGGAAGACAUCAUGAGUACAGUGGUUGCACUCACAAGACUUCACUCAAAACUUAUGUAUAUAAGAACGUGAACUCCAAAUGUGGCACAGAGCAUCAAAUUGUGACUGAGAUCAUGGGUAAAGAACGUGCGAUUCUCCCACGGCAGCAGAGGCCUAGCGAGGGACAGGGAGUGGGUUCAAAUCCCUGAGCAGAAUUUAACUUCUGCAGCAAAAAUUCCCAAUUUUGCCUGAAUCCAGGCAGGACCAAGGGAGAUAAUUCAGACCGCUACAAAUUCCCCUCUGAAGCCCUUUCUGCAAAGCUGCUUUCAUUUCCAAGCUACUCCAGAGAUACGAAAAUACCAGGAGGAUAUUUGCAGCCUAACAUGAAAGCACCAUUUUAUUUUUUUUUUCGAGCAGAGAAAAAUUAUUUGAUUUCUUUUUUUUUUUUUUUUUCUUCUUUUUUUUAUGCGCUGCCCAAAGAAUGUGCCAUCAUUUAGACCUCAUGCCAAACCCCUCUUAUUUACAUGUACUCCCCGGAGGGGGCUGACUAAACCUUCCAUUACUCAACAGCAUCUUGGCUCUGGCACCAAAUCACUGCAAAGUUGGAAGGACUUAAAAUAUAUGAGGAUAUAUGGAAAGGGGCUGAGAAGGUGCCACCAACUGAAGGCGUCUUUGACUUCAACCCUAAUCUUACUGAAUAGAGUAAUGCAAAUAAAUUUUGCUGUUUCAA